UGUAAUUAGAUGUAGUUCCCUCAGAGCGGACCACCGAGAGCCCAGGCCAAGGCCGAAAUGGCCGAGCCUUCCUCUGCAUCUGGGCAGCCUGUGAUGCACCAGACAUGAAAACCCCUCAUGGACCAUUCCGGAGCCAUGCCAGAAAAUUACCCUUGCUAAUUACAAUGAAAUAAAGAGUACUUCUGUGCCAAGCA